CCUACGGGAGGCAGCAGUGGGGAAUAUUGGGCAAUGGGCGCAAGCCUGACCCAGCAACGCCGCGUGAAGGAAGAAGGCUUUCGGGUUGUAAACUUCUUUUGUCAGGGAAGAGUAGAAGACGGUACCUGACGAAUAAGCCACGGCUAACUACGUGCCAGCAGACGCGGUAAUACGUAGGUGGCAAGCGUUGUCCGGAUUUACUGGGGGUAAAGGGCGUGUAGCCGGGUUGAAAAGUCAGAUGUGAAAUCCUGGGGCUUAACCGCAGAACUGCAUUUGAAACUGGCGAUCUUGAGUACUGGAGAGGUAGAUGGAAUUCCAGGUGUAGCGGUGAAAUGCGUAGAUAUUAGGAGGAACACCAGUGGCGAAGGCGGCCUGCUGGACAGCAACUGACGGUGAGGCGCGAAAGCGUGGGGAGCAAACAGGAUUAGAUACCCGGGUAGUC
rnacentral:rRNA from 1 species